GCCUGGCUAGCUCAGUUGGGAGCGUAUGAGACUCUAACUCUCAGGAUUGUGGGUUUGAGCCCCACUCAGGACA